rnacentral:lncRNA from 1 species
UAUGUAGUAAUAUGGUACCUAAAUGUGGGAUUCUAAGUUAAGAAUUCUCUUAAGUAGAUACGUAUGAAGAUACGUAUGAAGGUAUGUAUGUAUGUAUGUAUGAAUAUAAGUGGUAUGUAUGAAUGAAUGUAUGUAUGUAUGUAUGUAGGUGUGUAUGUAGGUAGUAUGUGUAUGUGUAUAUAUAUAUCCAAGUGAGUAUGUACGAAAGUGUGUGCACGUAUGUAGGGUUGUGAGAAGGCAUGUAAUAGGUAUGUAUGUAGACAUGUAUGCAUGUAUGUAUGUAGGUAUGCACGUAUGUAGGAACGUACGUAU